CUUUCCUAAGCUAGAAGUCUCAAAGAUUCCAACGGGCUCCAGCUGCCUCGAAUCGAAUACCGCAUUCACAGCGGGACAGCAUUUCAGAUGAAACACCAGUAGGUAUAGGACUCCCGAGGAGAACAUUCAAAAGAAGGUUUCCUAGGAUCCAAACCCAGAUUCGAAACAAGCUGUCGGGAAAGUCCAGGGCUGAAGAGCCCGCAUCCCAGAGGAUUUCAGAGCAGGCGCUGUUAAGGAUCAUGCUUUGAGAAGCAGUGCCCGGUUGGACAAGUGUGGAAACUAGGUUCAGUGAGGUGCCUCUGUCCCUGAGCCCCGGAAGGGGGUCCCACGCCUCCCGGGCCCGCCGUCCUAGCUCGUCACGUACCUGUCCCCGUAGAGCGAGCGCCAGCGACGCCACCAGUCCGUUCCCCUGUCCCACAGUGGACAAGCCAGUCUUAGAGACGCGUCAGUCAGGAAGAUUGAACCUCCGAACCCUCCUACCCGGAUCUUGAUCACCUGACAAGGAGCCACCUCUAUUAGAGCAACUUCCGGUUACAGCCGGAAAAGGCUGGUGUGGCAGCACUGCGUUCCGGCCCAGGCGCCGGGUUCUUAAGUUCCGCCCCGGGACAGGAAGGGGAGGGCUUUCGGCCUUUUCCCAGUGUUUCCUGGAGGAGGAAAAGUAGUUCAAUGGGUGGCCUUGCUUGCUUCGCCUGCGUGAGGACUUGGGAAUAAAUGUGUGUUUGCACUCCA